CAUGACGUCAAGCGAAUUGAAUUUCACCAAGCAUACCUAGCAUCUUUGGCUCGAGCCAUGAGAAAUGGUGCUGAUGUGAGGGGCUAUUUUGUUUGGACUUUGAUGGAUAAUUUUGAAUGGUCAUUUGGGUAUGAUGUGAAGUUUGGACUUUAUUCUGUUGAUCGGGCAACGUUGAAUAGAAUUCCUAGGUCCUCUGCCAAGUGGUAUAGAAAUUUCCUGAGGAACAUCAGCUCCAAUGGCAUGAAGCCCAGAACUGCAUUUUCACUUUGGAGCAAAGUUGGUAGAGGAGAAGAAGAGUGAUGAACUAAUGUUUUCAGUUCAUUUCCCCCCUUUAUCGAACAUAUGUUUAUCCAAGAAUGGUGAGGAUAUUGAAUAGCAAGCUCGAACUGUGCCUCGCUGCAUUAUGUUGUAUUAUGCGAGAUCAAAUUUAC